rnacentral:rRNA from 1 species
AGAGUUUGAUCCUGGCUCAGGAUGAACGCUGGCGGCGUGCUUAACACAUGCAAGUCGAACGAUCCUUCGGGAUAGUGGCGGACGGGUGAGUAACGCGUGGGAAUCUGCCCUUAGGAGGGGGAUAACGGCUGGAAACGGCCGCUAAUACCCCAUAUGCCGAGAGGUGAAACGAAUUUCGCCUGAGGAUGAGCCCGCGUCUGAUUAGCUAGUUGGUGGGGUAAAGGCCUACCAAGGCGACGAUCAGUAGCUGGUCUGAGAGGAUGAUCAGCCACACUGGGACUGAGACACGGCCCAGACUCCUACGGGAGGCAGCAGUGGGGAAUUUUCCGCAAUGGGCGAAAGCCUGACGGAGCAACGCCGCGUGAGGGAUGAAGGCCUCUGGGCUGUAAACCUCUUUUCUCAAGGAAGAAGAACUGACGGUACUUGAGGAAUAAGCCACGGCUAAUUCCGUGCCAGCAGCCGCGGUAAUACGGGAGUGGCAAGCGUUAUCCGGAAUUAUUGGGCGUAAAGCGUCCGCAGGCGGCCUUGUAAGUCUGUUGUUAAAGCGUGGAGCUCAACUCCAUUUAAGCAAUGGAAACUACAAGGCUGGAGUGUGGUAGGGGCAGAGGGAAUUCCCGGUGUAGCGGUGAAAUGCGUAGAUAUCGGGAAGAACACCAGUGGCGAAGGCGCUCUGCUGGGCCAUAACUGACGCUCAUGGACGAAAGCCAGGGGAGCGAAAGGGAUUAGAUACCCCUGUAGUCCUGGCCGUAAACGAUGAACACUAGGUGUCGGGGGAAUCGACCCCCUCGGUGUCGUAGCCAACGCGUUAAGUGUUCCGCCUGGGGAGUACGCACGCAAGUGUGAAACUCAAAGGAAUUGACGGGGGCCCGCACAAGCGGUGGAGUAUGUGGUUUAAUUCGAUGCAACGCGAAGAACCUUACCAGGGUUUGACAUCCUGCGAAUCCCUUGGAAACGAGGGAGUGCCUUCGGGAGCGCAGUGACAGGUGGUGCAUGGCUGUCGUCAGCUCGUGUCGUGAGAUGUUGGGUUAAGUCCCGCAACGAGCGCAACCCACGUCUUUAGUUGCCAGCAUUCAGUUGGGCACUCUAGAGAGACCGCCGGUGAUAAACCGGAGGAAGGUGUGGAUGACGUCAAGUCAUCAUGCCCCUUACAUCCUGGGCUACACACGUACUACAAUGCUACGGACAAAGGGCAGCAAGCUCGCGAGAGUUAGCAAAUCCCAUAAACCGUGGCUCAGUUCAGAUCGUAGGCUGCAACUCGCCUACGUGAAGGAGGAAUCGCUAGUAAUCGCAGGUCAGCAUACUGCGGUGAAUACGUUCCCGGGCCUUGUACACACCGCCCGUCACACCAUGGAAGUUGGCCAUGCCCGAAGUCGUUACUCCAACCCUUGUGGAGGAGGACGCCGAAGGUGGGGCUGAUGACUGGGGUGAAGUCGUAACAAGGUA